AACCUACGGGACGCAGCAGUGGGGGAUAUUGCACAAUGGGGGAAACCUUGAUGCAGCGACGCCGCGUGGGUGAAGAAGCGCCUCGGCGCGUAAAGCCCUGUCAGCAGGGAAGAAAAUGACGGUACCUGAAGAAGAAGCCCCGGCUAACUACGUGCCAGCAGCCGCGGUAAUACGUAGGGGGCAAGCGUUAUCCGGAUUUACUGGGUGUAAAGGGGGCGCAGACGGCGAUGCAAGCCAGGAGUGAAAGCCCGGGGCCCAACCCCGGGACUGCCCUGGAAACUGUGCGGCUUGAGUGCGGGAGGGGG
rnacentral:rRNA from 1 species